rnacentral:rRNA from 1 species
AACAAACGCUGGCGGCGUGCCUAACACAUGCAAGUCGAACGAGAAAGUCGGUUUCGGCCGAUGAGUAAAGUGGCGCACGGGUGAGUAACGCGUGGAUAAUCUACCCUUUAGUCCGGAAUAACUUGCCGAAAGGUGAACUAAUACCGGAUGACAUCCCGGGUUCUCCGGAAACCGGGAUCAAAGAAGGCCUCUGCUUGCAAGCUUUUGCUGAAGGAUGAGUCCGCGUACCAUUAGCUAGUUGGUGGGGUAAUGGCCUACCAAGGUUAUGAUGGUUAGCUGGUCUGAGAGGAUGAUCAGCCACACUGGAACUGAAACACGGUCCAGACUCCUACGGGAGGCAGCAGUGAGGAAUAUUGCGCAAUGGGGGCAACCCUGACGCAGCAACGCCGCGUGAGUGAGGAAGGUUUUCGGAUUGUAAAGCUCUGUCGAGCGGAAAGAAAUGCACGAUGGCUAAUAUCCAUCAUGCUUGACGGUACCGCUAGAGGAAGCACCAGCUAA